rnacentral:rRNA from 1 species
AUGAUCCAACUGCCCCCCCACCAAGACCUAAAAAUCUUGUCUUCCCUGGAGCCGGCGCCGGCUUCGCUCCAUGGCCUCCCACGAAUCUCAACCCUGGCAGCUGGAGCCUGGUACCCUGCUUCAAAUACACUGGCUGAGAAGGCAGCAUGGAAGUUUGAAGAGGAGAAUGGGCUGCAUGUGGUUGUGGUCAAUCCAGGGACUAUUUUGGGCUCGAUGAUUCCGCCAAGGAUCAAUGCUAGCAUGGCCAUAUUUCUUCACUUACUUGAAGCUACUGCUUCUGUGCUAGAUUGGAUGGAUAAGCAAGAAAGCAAACCGAAUGGGGAAAGAUUGGGAGCAUAUCCAUUUGUUUGGAAACUAAAAAAGGAGAAGAUAAGAGUAUGUGGUGUACAAAGCUCACCCGUUUAUCAACAACUAUGUGUCGGCUUUGUUUUUUAA